rnacentral:rRNA from 1 species
UACAGAGGGGGCAAGCGUUGUUCGGAAUUACUGGGCGUAAAGGGCGCGUAGGCGGCCUUCUAAGUCGAACGUGAAAUCCCCGGGCUCAACCCGGGAACUGCGUCCGAUACUGGAAGGCUUGAAUCCGGGAGAGGGAUGCGGAAUUCCAGGUGUAGCGGUGAAAUGCGUAGAUAUCAAGCGGAACACCGGUGGCGAAGGCGGCCUUCUGGACAGUGACUGACGCUGAGACGCGAAAGCGUGGGGAGCAAACAGG